rnacentral:tRNA from 1 species
AGUUCCAAUUGGUAGAACAGCGGUCUCCAAAACCGAUGGUUGCGGGUUCGAGUCCUGCC